rnacentral:rRNA from 1 species
CGGUGGAGCAUGUGGUUUAAUUCGAAGCAACGCGAAGAACCUUACCAGGCUUGACAUGCAGAGAACUUUCCAGAGAUGGAUUGGUGCCUUCGGGAACUCUGACACAGGUGCUGCAUGGCUGUCGUCAGCUCGUGUCGUGAGAUGUUGGGUUAAGUCCCGCAACGAGCGCAACCCUUGCCUUUAGUUGCCAGCAGUUCGGCUGGGCACUCUAAAGGGACUGCCGGUGUUAAACCGGAGGAAGGUGGGGAUGACGUCAAGUCCUCAUGGCCUUUAUGACCAGGGCUACACACGUACUACAAUGGCCGAUACAAAGGGCAGCGACACUGCGAGGUGAAGCCAAUCCCGUAAAAUCGGUCUCAGUCCGGAUUGGAGUCUGCAACUCGACUCCAUGAAGUUGGAAUCGCUAGUAAUCGCGCAUCAGCAUGGCGCGGUGAAUACGUUCCCGGGCCUU